rnacentral:rRNA from 1 species
AUUGAACGCUGGCGGCAGGCUUAACACAUGCAAGUCGAGCGGGGGAGGUUGCUUCGGUAACUGACCUAGCGGCGGACGGGUGAGUAAUACUUAGGAAUCUGCCUAUUAAUGGGGGACAACAUCUCGAAAGGGAUGCUAAUACCGCAUACGCCCUACGGGGGAAAGCAGGGGAUCACUUGUGACCUUGCGUUAAUAGAUGAGCCUAAGUCGGAUUAGCUAGUUGGUGGGGUAAAGGCCUACCAAGGCGACGAUCUGUAGCGGGUCUGAGAGGAUGAGCCGCCACACUGGGACUGAGACACGGCCCAGACUCCUACGGGAGGCAGCAGUGGGGAAUAUUGGACAAUGGGGGGAAGCCUGAUCCAGCCAUGCCGCGUGUGUGAAGAAGGCCUUAUGGUUGUAAAGCACUUUAAGCGAGGAGGAGGCUCUUUUGGUUAAUACCCAAGAUGAGUGGACGUUACUCGCAGAAUAAGCACCGGCUAACUCUGUGCCAGCCGCCGCGGUAAAAC